AUCGCUUCUCAGCCUUUUGGCUAAGAUCAAGUGUAGAAUAGUUCACUGGCUAAAUGUACUACAUUUAAAUUCUUGAUUACUUCUGUUCCUGAAAUAUAAUAAAAGUUUGAGUAAUUGGGGAAAAAAAAAAAGCUCACUGGCUUCCCACUGAUGCUCACAGAAUAAAAUUUAAUCACUGUGCUGUGUCCUGCAAGG
rnacentral:snRNA from 1 species